rnacentral:lncRNA from 1 species
ACUGCUAGUGCAGUCACCGUCAGGAGCACGAUCCGUCGCUUGAGGGAGCAGACCGAAGCAUGAUUGCCCUACUGUUGUCUUGAGGAAUCCAGGGGUUCUGUAGUGGAGUGAAGACUUAACAAUCUCUGUAUUUUGGCUAUCGAGCGAUGGAUAUCUGUUAGUAAUUUUGGUUCUGAUUUUAGGAUCUUUGAAACUUGAAAGUAUGUCCCUACAGCUGCCUGUUAUGCGUUAUGCCAACCUAUUUGUAUUUUUGUGACACGUCUCUCACUCUCUACCCCUCUGCACCCCAAGUCAAUCUUAUAUGAUAAGGUUUUUAUCUCUUUUUUUAACACAGUAUAGAUGCAAACGAGCAUACUGACCCCAUGAAUGCAUGGACACCCCUACCUCUAUGAGCAUCUGUCAUCUGAUAUGGAGAAUGAACAUUGCCGGAGGAAAAUGGUAGUAGUGCAAAGUCUAGGACUUAUCCUGAUGGGCUGGUUGCAUCCCUAAAAUUGUGAACUUAUGGAAUGCACCCCAGUUGAGCAGAAAAUUUUGAAAAAGUUGGAAAUAAAUUCAAGACAUUCUGUUUUUUAUAAACAUUGUUGAAUGUUUUAUUGACAUGCAAAGUUUCAUUUGUGGAUGUCUUGAAAAGAAAAAUUGAUGUUCAAAAGUGCUUACAAAAAGAGGAAAUGAUUGUAAUCAACCGAUCGGCCGCUCCCAAGGUCGCCGCUUUAUCUCUUCCUCUCUCAAUCUUUCUUGGAUCUUCUCACUUGCAGCGGCUCCAGGAUUUGCCAUGAGCCGCAAGUGUGCCGCUCCAAGCCACCCAUCCAUGUCCAUUGUUGAGAGGUUUAGCCGUCGGGUUGCUGCGUGCUCGACGGAGGUGUGGCCAGUCGAGGCCUAGUGUUACAAGUCGGCCACCGGGGUGCUGUGUGCUGGCCGCUGGACGUCGGCGGUGGAGUAAAAUCACACUUCUUUACCCCUGUUCAUGGCCGGAUAAUGCCUCCUUAUUUUAUUUUUGCAACAACAACCCUGUUUUGCAAUUGCAACAAGGAGCCGCGAGCUAGUGAUUUUUUUUUUCAGUCAGAAAUGUUUCUCCAACAAAGGUUUGUUGCAAAGGAGGUUUGCAACACCGAUUUUGUUGCAAUGAAGAGAGUUGUGUUUCAGAAGAAGAAAAUGGAAAAGAACGUUUUUUUGUUGCAACAAGGCCCAUGUUACAGAGACUGAGUGCAACAAUUGACUUGUUGCAAAUCACUGGUUUCAACGGGGUUCACAUGGGGAGAUCCAAUGGUCAUUCUCACUUCAUCCAACGGCCGGCGAGGUGGUCGAUCUUUCCAGAUCAUCCGCGGGACGCGUAGCGCCCCCCUUAAAAAAAUACCCUUUUUGAAACAUUGUUGUUGUUUUUAAUCCCAAAAAACAGUUUCUGCAAAUUUUCCAUGGGUGCAUGCAGAAACUUCAUGUUCCAUUUCAUUAAUGCUAUUUUUGCAGACGUUAUGAUUUUGUAGUUUCUUUCCCAUGAGUUUGCUGUGCGUUACACAGCUGACGCUCAUAAAGCUUAUACGGAAUGUUGUAAGCCCUGAAUAAUCUUCAGAUUCCAGCAAAUGAUAGGUUUUCAUGUCCUCGCAAAUAAUAAAUAGAAGCUCCUUAUUAGUUGAGCUUUAAGUUUCCCAAAGAAUCUAGAGCUUCAGAUACGGUAUGUUACCGCAAUCCCAACCAAGGAGAUUGCUCAGAUCCUCUUGAGAAGCGCUUUCAGAUGUGGCUGUAGACUGUUUGUGAUUGUUGCCAUCUGAACGACGUACGAGAGCUCCCCAUCCACCACCUGAAAAGCCCUCGUGAUCUGCUUCACCUGACAAAAUUAUACAAGAUUUCUUAGGAGAUUCAGGCAACUUAGGUGGCUGCAAGACUCCGUAAGCGAGUGGAUAACCCUGAAGAUGACCUUCCUAUGAAGUUUAGCAACUCCAACAAGGAAAGACAAUGUACAUGAUGGUCAAGAUUUGAGUGUUGCGAACCUAUGACAAAAAAUACAAUGAAGUGCCGCCAGCAAGAUGAGUCAUACCCCUCCUACUUCGGUUCAUGAACACAAAAGCAGAUCUAAGUGUCAUAGUUUCUGAGUUUUAAACAAACAAGACAAGUGCAGAUGGAAGUAGGGCACUGCUUCCAGAGUUAAGAAACUUUACAUGUAGAUUUAUCCCUUGUUAAAUAUAGAUAUAUGGGUGCAAAUAUAAAUUUCUAUUAGCUCAUAGAAGCCUUAGUGUAUCAUGAGUUCAUCACCUGGACAAGUGAGGAACGUCAUUCUAUCCUAAUUCGCAAAAAACAAAAUACACUAUCCCAUCCAACUUAAGAGUCAGAUUACGUAACAACAAAAGUACCUAAACUCUUUUGACAAAUAUUAGCCCAUGGUAGGUUGAAUGCAAAAACAAAAGCAUUGUCACAUAGUCAAAUGAAAAUUGACCCUCAGAACAUCAUGUGGCAUAGUAAUAAAGGUAGUCGAAAUAGAUGAUAAUAAGAGACAUCAUAUAUAAUCGUCCUAGGAGAAGUACCUUUGCUGCAUUGCCAAUAAGUUCGCUUUGGAGUGUCACUGUUUUCUUUUCACUAUCAUAUGAACCUGUCUGCAUUUUAGAAACAAAGUUGUGGCAACAAAUAACAGUUUAGCUAAAAUAAAUAAAUAUAAAUAACUAAAGUAACACACCAAUUUAUUUAGUUCUCACCAAAAAAAACUUGUUUUGCUUAGUGAUAUAAAUCACACUCCGAUGAAACCUAAUUCUUACAAUGCCUGGGUGAGUUAUGAGCUAUGGCCUUGUGAGUACCUUUGGCCCUAUAAGCAACUUAUAUAAGAGGACCACUAUUGUUUGGAUGUGUCCUCUCUAUUUAUCAUUUACCAGCAAGCCUCCAGUGCUAGUUUUUGGUAUUUGAUUAACAGUUGUUUAGCGAAAAUACAGGAAAAAAGGGACCACCAGUUGCAACGAAUUUGCAAAGAGAGCGAAUAUCUCAAGCCUACACUAUCUUUAUUCAAAAAUUAAAACAUAAACACACAUUUAACUUCAAAAAAGCAGAUAUUUCAGUGACAAAACUACACUUUCAUCUUUAAAAUGUAAAUUUAAAAUAUACUUUGGUAUAGUUUUGUAAACAUAUUAAGGGUAUUUGUUAGUUUUCUGAUAAAUUUUGACAUAAUAACUAUAGUUCUGUGCCAUUUAUUCUUUGCAAUAUUAAAGGAUCCAAAUAUUGCAGGCGUCAACUCACUUCCUAUUUGUAUAUCACAUUCCUUUCUAUCCUACUCCCUCCGAACCAUAAUAUAAGACGUUUUUGCAGUUCAAAUUUAACUGCAAAAACGUCUUAUAUUAUGGUACCGAGGGAGUACAUAAGAGAUCAACACAACUCCACAUAAAUCAGUGUUAAUACUGCAAUGACAUAAAUGCUCCUUUGCCCCUUCUUUGCGCCGCUUAGCAGGUGAGAUAAGGAUAAUUAACCCCACCUACUGUUGCAAGCAACUAUGCUAGUUCAGUAUCCAGUUCAGAAUCUUCAGAUAUGAACAAUAUAACUGCAGUAUGCAGACACCUGCCGUGCAAAUUAUAAACUGGGAUUGCGAAUUUGCGAUGGCCUAUAACGAAUACCAACAGGCAAUACCCAAACAGAGUUGCCAUUUGCAGCUGGCUCCAAAAUGCAUACCAUACUCAAUCUAGCAUCAGACAGAACUAUGCUUGCAAGAACUCAAUGGGCAGUCAGUACGAACACACCUGGACCUCGGUGAGGCCUGUGCUCUGGGCGAUGACCACCUCGACGGAGCCGUCGGGGCGGGGCCGCCAGUACCCACUCUCGGCGUGCAUCGGGUCGCCGGACGCCGCCUUCCACGUCCUCUGCGUGUACGAGAUCACCGGCUGCGCGCACCCACGCCGAGUCAGGCAAAGGCAUGAAAGCUCUAAGAAUCGGCCAACCGAAGGCAAAGUUUCUGCCACGGAAGGGACACAUACGGCCGGGAGACGGCGGUGUACCUUGGAAGGGUGGUGGGAGAAGAGGAUCUCCUCGCCGUAGCGGAACGGGACGAUGGAGGGGAAGGUCCCCUCGCCCUCGCCGCGCCACUUGCCCAGCAGAAACGACAGCGGAGCCACCAAUGGGUGCGGCGCCGGCGGCUGCGUUGGAGGGCCGGCGGCUUCCAUUUCUUGAAGUCUCCGGUUGGAUUUUCGGACUGGUCUCACCUCUCUGCUCUCUUGUUUCGUGAGCUGAACGGGACGAUGGGGAGUGGCUUGGGUUGCACAAUCUAAUUAUUUUUUAACCGUAACUGUGGGUUGCACAAUUUUCACCCAACCGCCCCCAUUCGGUCAAGGAUUUGUUGCUGACCCACCCAAAAUUCUAGUCAUCCGAGAAAGACGGUCACGCCCACAAUAAUCAUGCUAACCGGGAAAUUUUGAAACAAGCACGAUGUAUGGCAAGAUCUUCCACAAUUCGUCAACCAUGUCACAACUUUGCAAGGAGGUGAACUCGGUAAUUAUCUGCACGCUUCACUCCCUUUAGCCGGAGAGGAACCGGCAGGUCUUUGAGAACAUCACUCUCCUCCCAUCGGCGGUCAUCGACAAGAUUCACAAUAACUGUAAAUAGUGAGAGGGUAAUAUUCAACUCCCUUCCUUUCUAAAUAUAAGGUGUAUUAGUUUUUUCAACACUUUAAUCAUUUUAGACAAAAAUAUCAAUGUCUAGAUUCAACAUGAAAUAUAUUUACAUGUUAUAUUUAUUUAAUGUUAUAUAUCCUUAUAUAUAUUUCUAUAAACUUGGUCGAACAUCGAUAGUAUUUGACUUUUUGAAAAACUAAUAUGCAUUAUAUACUAGUAUUUAGGAACAGAGGGAAUAGGCAGUCUUGUGGUGAAAUGCCAUCGUUCUCAUACAAAUUAUUGCAAAUGCACUUGUUUGCAAUCUUAACAUAUAUGUAUGAAGAUCUCCGUGUUCACGGAAAAAAUAUAUCAAAAAUGAAAUCACAGGGUCUUGGUGAGUACCAAGAACCCAACACCAUGCAAGCAAACUGCGAACAGCAGCAAGGAUGACAUUCGCUGAAUUAUUGGCGGCUAUGGUUUGGCGAUGGUGUAGAGGUGUGAUGCAACGGGCGUAAACUCUGCAUUUGCUUUGAUCUCACAUGCGACAGUGACGCUCAUAUUCCUUGUUGGAACUAUUUUGUGAAGCCUUUAGAGCACAUACAGUCGGGCGUCUUAUCUCCUCUCCCAAAUGUCCGGGUGGACGCCUUGGUUACUAACCGGUGAAAAUCCUGACAUAGACGGGCGCCUUAAAUGGGCCUCAAACCUUGGGCUGACCGACGCCCCUCAUAUCCAGCCAUAAUGUAGGGCGGAUAUGAGGAGGCUCGUGCGUGACCACGCGCGUCUGCAACGUCGGACUCGACACCCCGACCCCAUCAUAAAUUGCACCAAAUUCAUCACCCUUAACCCGCCGAUUGCAUUUGCUCUCUCCUCUCUUCCUCCUCCUUCACACUGGACGUCUUUUAGCUCCGCCGCCACCCUUGCUCCGGCGCCGUUCCGAGCCUUAACGCCGCCAGCACUGGUACUACAGUCCUCUCUAUCGUGCUGCCUCUGUGGACUUUGUUGCCGGCCCGGCCCGGACGUCACCACAGUAUGUUCAGCAACUUUUGGGUUGCCCCUUGCGCUCUGUGUGUUCGACACAAUAUUUGCCCCGGUUUUCUGUGAUUUAUUCGUAGGAAAAAUGAUGGAUUCUAAUGCUUCAUCAGACAAGGAGUAUGCACCGAUGUAGUUUGAUAAAAUGAUUGAAGAUGAGUUCUUCGUUUCAUGGAAUUCAGACGAAGAGUCAGACAUGAUCAUGCUCAUAAGCAUGCAAGAGGGAAUGGAACGGCAGGUGGAGCAUAUUCUCAACUUUAAGGGCUCAAUGAAAGGGAAAAGAGUGAUCAAUCGGGAUAGGGUCUCCGGAGCACAGCUAGUGUACAAGGACUACUUUGGUCCAGACCCAACUUUCACAGAUGAUCCAUGGUUUCGUUGUCGUUUCUGUAUGCGCAAACCAUUGUUUUUGCGUGCUGUGGAGGGAGUGGAAGCACACGACUACUACUUCCAGCUCACAAGGGAUUGUUGCGGCCAUCUUUCUUCCUCCGCUAAGCAGAAAUGCACAACUACUCUGAGGAUGCUUACACUUGGUACUGUCGUCGAUGCCAUUGGUGAGAUGGUCCGGAUGGGGGAGAGCAUAUGCCUGAAGACUACUGCCAGGUUUGCCCGCGCCGUGCAGGUGUUUGGAGCUGAGUGUCUAAAGGAACCAAAUGUGCAGGACACAGAAAAGUUGUUGGCUAUUGGAGAGGCAAGAGGAUUUCGAGGAGUACUUGGAUCAAUUGAUUGCAUGCAUUGGCAAUGGAAGAACUGACCCAAAGGUUUGCGUGAAAUGUAUCAAGGUAACACCAAAGAGGCCACCAUCACACUGAAAGCAGUGGCAUCACAUGACUUAUACACCUGGCAUGCUUUCUUUGGAAUGCCGGAUUCUCACAACGAUAUCAACGUGCUUCAACGAUCUCCAUUUUCAGGAGGCUUUGUAAUGAGGAAUUGCCGCCGUGCAACUACACUGUCAAUGGCCGUGACUACAACAUGGGAUACUAUCUUGCCGAUGGCAUAUAUCUUUAGUGAGUUGCGUUUGUGAAGACCAUAUCCGAACCACAAGGCAACAAACAAAGUCACUUGCAACAAUGCAGGAAGCAACUAAGAAGGAUGUGGAGAGAGCAUUCGGAGUGCUUCAAGCUCGUUCAUGAACUGUUCAUGGAGCUACAAUGAUGUGGGAAUCAGAAACUUUGUGGCAGCUGAUGACAUGUUGUGUUAUUUUGCACAAUAUAAUUGUCAAGGAUGAGGGUGAUGUUGUCGCCCAAACCAAUGGUUAUGAAGUGCGUGGAGAACAAGUCCAUAUCCUCAAAGAUCAAGAUGCAAAACGGCUUAUAAACUUUAUGCAGAUGCAUCAGAAUCUUCGAGAUCAUGACGCCACAACUACUCAGUGAUCUUGUGAAGCAUAUGUGGACCGACAAUGACCAAAGAGCUAAUGUUUGAGUUGUGCAAUUAAAAUAAAUUUUAUGUAAGAACUAUGUAUUUUCGCUGCCAACAUUUAUUAUUUACGUGCGACAUUGGCGUGUAUGAUAGACGUGCAUGGAUUUGCAAGUAUCUGUGAGUUCGAAUUUGAGGUAUGUGGCUCUGCCGAACAUGACAUAUGAGGGGCGGUUCAGAUGCGUCCACAGGCGUGCCUGGAUGCAUCCGUGGACGUAUAGGGGCCGGAUUUGCCAAAUCCGGCUGUAGAUGCUCUUCAAGAAAAAAAACAUCAUUUCCUAGACAUAGUGAUGGUCGUGCGUGGUUUCUUCCUUGGUUUGUGGCCUUUGAAUCUCAUUAGCUGUUUGACGUCUCGGCUACAGUGCAGAUAGUUGAUAUGAGAUCCGUGGUACCAUUUUUGCGAUGGUGGCUGCUCCUUGGUUCUUCUCCUCGUAAGUGUCGAGUUCUGCAAGGUUGGUUGAUUAGUCUUGUUGUUUGAUCAUAUUAGUAGGAGAUCCAAAUGUUUUCAUCUAAACCUAGGUUGGCGAGUCCUUGAACCACACUAGAUCACCUUCUUCCCAUAGGACACCUUGCACCCACUAUAAUUUUCAGAAUUAUUGAAGCUAUGGAAUUAUUCAUAGGAUUUUAUAGCUCUAAUUCAAAUAACAUAUGAGUUAAUUCAAAGUCUAUAAAUGCCAUGGAAAAAUAUGCAUCAUCUUUGGAUAAGAUUUUCACCGUUUUCCCUAAAUCAUGAUCAUUUUUAAGAACAUUUUGGGUUUCAUUGAGAAAUAAUUUAGUUAAACCUAGUUUAUUAAUGUGGUGCUAGGGUUUGUCAUUCCCCAUUUUAAAUUCUUUGAAAUUUAAACAUGAUGCAUUCAAGAAAUUACUAACCUAAGUCAUUACCAGACUAUGGAUGUGACUGUAACGCCCAUCAGUUUCUGGCUGUUGCGCUUGAUUUCUAGACUAGACCAACAUAUUAAUACUAAUCUUUGCUGCGCAUUUUUUUCCUUACUUGUGCGCAUCUCGGGACAACUUCCUAGUCAAUCAUCCAUUCUUAAAUUUCUCCAAGCCAAGCACACUUAACUUUGAGGUUCCUUGGAGAUGGGCUUCCAGAAAAGAAGAUGUACCAUGUUGAUAUGAGUAGUCUGUUAUUCUUAUUAAGCCGGGAUGUCACAUACACCCACCUCAAAGGAACAUACAUCCCAAUAGGAACAUUUCAUCUUUGCACACAUCUGCGCGCUAGUGCUAGCAUCCACAUGUGCCCCAUGUAUGCAUCACUGACCCGUACCCGCCCGUGUAACCGCGAGGAUCGACUCUGAUACUAAUUGUAAUGCCCAAAUCAAACCCACCGGUUCAAUCAUCGGUUCCCGGCGGUUGCGCCUGGGAUCUAGACUGGCCUCACAUACUAACACUAUUAUUUUCUACGCAUUUUGUCAUCACCCGUGCGCACCUGAAACAACUUUCCACUCGGUCACCAAUCCUUAAAUUUCUUCAGGCAAAGUACACCUUACUUUGAGGUUCCUUGAGGAUGAACUUCCGGGAAAAAAGGUGCACCUUGUUGAUAUGAGUACUCUAUCAUUCCUAUUAAGCUAGGAUGUCACACUCUCCUUCUUUGCGAUGAGUGUUAUCAGGUGGACAAACCAAGCAACCAACGCUCAAGGCUGCCUUAUUUGUUUACAUGAGAAUGGAAAUUGAAGAUCUCCUAUGUAUUUUGAAACGAGGCAAAAGAUUAGCAAUUUUCAUUGAUUAGGGAGGAAGGCUUGGAGGUUAAGGCUCAAGGCGAGAAUUGCAACAAUCACUCUCGCUGCAUUACAAUACUCAAAUGCCUCGGCCCUGCAAUGCUCCAAACCGAGGUAUCCUGUUUAAUCCUAGUGACGAUCACUCCCAUCGGGACGAAGGAAUUACGAAAGAUCCGCGCAUUCCACUCCUUCCACAAUGCCCAAGAGAUAAGCAACAUCAAGGAAGCCAGCGUCCUGCACGAUUGGGUUUUCUUGGUAGCGUUGUAGGUCCACCACUCUUUAACGGAAGUCGCUUCACCCAAUCGGAAGAAUGCACAUCGUGAAGUCCAAGCCAAUCUUUGACCAUGCACCAAACUCUAAUAGUGUACCAACAUUGAAAAAGGAGGUGGGCCACCGACUCUUGGACCUUCUUGCAUACGGGGCACGGGUUACAAUCUGGCCACCUACGACGCUGAAGGGUUAUCCCUUCAAAUCCUAGUGUUGAUUGCAAGCCAUGCGAAGAGCUUGCAUUUAGGAGUGCCCGUAUUCUCCAAAUGGUCAGGAUCAUGGCGGAGUCAGUCCGGCCAAGGAACUGUGCCUUGUAGCAUGCCGUGUCUGUCUCGCCAAGGAACCAAGCCAUGCGAAGAUCUCCUUUGUCUUGGUUGAGUCAACCAGACAUUUGAAUGUAGUGUUUUUUCUUCUUCCUAUUUCUGUAGCAUGGUCUGUAAUCAUCUCGAUGCCCACCUCCCAUGUGAUUGUCUAGUUGUUUGAAUUGGCGGCGUUCACCCCGAUCGAACUGAGGCGUUUGCAAAUAGCUAAAUAACCGAAACAUUCCAAGGAACUAUGAAUAUACAAAUAAAAGCAAGGGAGAGAUUUACCAGCGCAAGCAUGUGAAAAAUCAAUCCGCCCACACUAACAUAUCUCGAGAUUUUGCCCAGUCAACCGAUAAUGAACUCAUGAAAGACAAAUCAUCAUUCCGUUGUGGCUUAGGCCCGAUUUUCGAUUGUCGAAUCGUGUUGCAUUGUAUUUGUUUCUCUUUCAUACUAAUUUGUUGUGCGAAAAAAUAGCCACAAAACUAGAAACAAUUAUUGAUAUAGCUCAUCAUUCAUGCCAAAUGAUAACUCAAAAUAUUUUUUAUUUUUUUAUAUAGCUCAUCAUUCAUGCCAAAUGAUAACUCAAAAUAUUUUUUAUUUUUUUAUAUAGCUCAUCAUUCAUGCCAAAUGAUAACUCAAAACAUUGUCCGGUGGUAUAACAUAUGCACAAUUGUGGAACAAAUAAACGAACCAGCCCUAAACGGUAGUAUAUGUAUUCACUGAAAUGAAGAUACCAAAUGUGGUAAAGAAAAAAAAAGAGAAGCAGAAAACUUAUUACAGCUUACUCAUUUUUGCGAGGCACAUUUCUCAUUGCAUUAGUAUAGAUCUGAAGACGGGACAAAAACAAAUACAAAUAAUCAGCGAGGCCACCACCACAAGGAGAAAAAACACAAGACGUGGUUGGAUGUGGAACGGACGAUCAGGAUCAGUGCGUGCACCGCGACCUCUGGAAUCUUAGCCGUCGGUUUUUGAUAUCGAACUCCCACAGGUGCUCCUGCUGCAAGAUGUUACCGAUGACGGAGAUCCCGGGCCAAGGGCCUUCCUGCAGGCCGAUGCACUUGACGCCGGGCGCCGCGUCGAUCACGUAGCUCUUCCCUGGGGGCUCCAGCCGCGCCGCCCCGGCGAAGUGCACGGCCAUCUUCGGCACAGCGACGUCGGCGUCCUCGCCCGACGGCGACGUCCAGUUGUAGCAGUACUCGAACGGGUCCAUGGUGACCCGCGGCAGCCCGGCGAGCUCCUUGCUGAGCGCGGCCACGACGGCGCGGUAGGCCGGCUUGGCCAGCACCGUGAGGCUGGUGCCGGAGUCGAGGAUGACGCCGCCCCCCGCCUCGACGUCCCAGACGGCGCGCGGUAUCUUGAGGAACUCCCCGGCGACGGAGAUGGCCUUGAGGCUGACGUCGUAGAAGGGGCGCAUACGGCGGUCGAGCAGCAGCGGCGUCGUGCGCGCGCGGGGAGCGGCGGCGGCGUUGCAGGAGGAGGGGGAGGCGUGGGAGGAGGAGACGGCGGGGUUGGGGCCGAAGGUGAGGUAGCUGGUGGCGUUGCGCGGGGAGAGGUGGUCGACGAGGCAGUAGGAGAAGCGGCCGCCGAAGCGGGAGGCGGCGUGGGAGGCGAAGGAGAUGCCGCUGUAGCCGAGGCUGAGCACGCCGUCGGAGGCCUCGAAGCUGGGGUCGGUGUAGGAGCUGGUGCAGCCGAGCACGAGGCCCUUGAGCUUGGCCUUGCGCUCCUCCCGCCCGGACAGCGCGAUGGUCGCCGACUCCGUGCCCACCGUGCCGCGCGCCGCCGACCCGUCCUUGUACCUGCAUUGCAUGCGGCCGUAGAAUGCGCCACGGUUAGUUACGUAAAUCGUGCAUGGCACAUGGCGCGAUUCAAGGACUGGCUUGUGAGCAAAUGCAAAUCCUUCGGAGCACAAUGAUUAAACCGGUGGAAAGGGUAAUGCCUUUCCAUGAACUGUUAUCGCGAAGGAUGCUGCCAACAAGUGGACCUCACGCGGCAGUGCAGAUAUGUCCUACGUUCAUCAGUGUUUUUUGGCGAAUGCAUGCCGACCUGAACCUGAUUGGUUAGCAGCCGGAGUAUGUGCAUUUGAGCUGGAGGAUGAAUUGUUUUACUCCAGCCAAAACCAGUUUUGACCAAGGAGAAGGUGGCCCAGGUAUGGUCAAAGUCCCCCAGAGAAACUGUGUAUACUAUCACCCGUGAAAUUGCGUAUACAUUCAUCGGUGUUUGACUUUUGACAGUCGAUAGCAGAACCUGGUUUUCUCUGCAUAAACAGGAGAUGAUACUGUACUAUACUCACUAACCUUUGACAUUAGACAUAAUAGGGGAAGAGUAGUCAGGGAGGAAAAGUGGCGAGCAAACUGAGACGAACCGGCAUGUUUCAGAAAGAGAAGGGGUGGGCACUCCAUUUCUCCUCUUCCUUUUAGUACAAAAAAAACAGGCAGGCAGCACAACGUGAUCGAUUACCAGUAGUACAAGAACAGUCUACAAGCUGCAUGCAUGUUCGCCGUCGACACGCGUAACCCCAAAUCUAAAUGUACGUGUGAGAUGCUAUGACACCACGGGAGUGCGUGCUCGCCAGCUGCUCUUUCGGCCAUUAGCGAGGCGGGACACUACUCCUCACGAACUCCAUGGCCUAUUCUUGUCCUUGCAUUACGUCGUACGUUACGCAGGUACACUCAUUUGUUGCGGAAUCAAGAAGCCGAAUACCGUUUGUUACGGCACCUGCUUGGGACUGUCACUAACGGCGCACGGAGAAACAUCUCAUCUCAGAUCGGUGCAUGUAGUACGUAUUACAGAUUUACAGUACCAUCUUUUGAUUUAUCUUUCGGUGGCUCCUUUCCUACGGAAUAUGUGCAAUGUCCUGACACGCAGGCAGGCACUGAUGGAGUACAGCCCAAUCCACCGUGCACAUGACGAUCUCAAGCCAAGCCAAGCAAAGUCGAGUAUACUAUACUGCAGCUGCUACCGCCGCGACCGCCGUUCCCCUUUCUCUGCCCAUUGUUAAUGAAACAAGAAAACAAAUGCCCGGCCUAGAUAUGAACACCCGGCAGCGUGCACAUGCAGCAAAAACUACGAGCAGAUAGAUAUCCUGCGCGCGCGACCCCUUUCUGGGCGGCGCUGCAGGAUCCGAAUCCGAUGCAUAUGCGCGCAUGUGAUCCAUCUCAUCUCAUCGCUUUCGUGAGCGGGCAUAGUUCGGGACAUGAGGCAGCAUCCGUGCGUUCUUCUUCUUUCCGGUGUGUUCGUUUUGGUCCAUCGCCUUGGUGAGCCGAGUGACGAUGGCGCGCCAUGUCCGCCUGUGCGCGUGUUUGUCCGCGACAGCUCCACGAAGGCAUGGCAAGCCCACGCCUCUACAAGUAGACGCCAUAAAUAUGCUCCAAUCUAUCGAUGACUUUGACGAAGCAAGCGGCAAAUCGAUCGGAGAUUUCAGAGAGCUCAAUCAGCAUGAGGACUCCCAUCUCCAUCGAAGGGGGUAGGAGUACAUACGAGAAGGGGCAUCGUCGACCUACAUGGCCGAGCCAAUGAAUGCCGUGCAGUGCUACGGUCUCGUAGUACAAGUGGGACUGCCAGUACCAGUACCAGUAAGGCGAGGCAGGCCGGAGCUGCCCGGAGCAGGGAGGGCAUCAAUGGCGCCGCAUUGAUUAAACGCUGCGGCCCCAUUGCCAUUUGCAAAUUGCAACUGCGCGAGAUCCGACUCGCCCACCAACCAACCACUAAUGGCCUCCUCCUGCCUCCUCCUGCCGCCUCUGCUGCUGCUCGCGCCUCCUCAUCAAUGCCAGGGCCAAUUAACGACGCCCCACCCGCAGAUCGAUUUGAUUCAAAUCCAUCGCGAUUACGCACAGCUAAGUAGGAGUGGUGGUACUAGUCGUAGCAGUAAAGCGCGGGCUGGCGUUUGUAUGAAGGCUGGUUAGUACGGUAGAGGGGAGAGCGAUGCGAAUGCGAAUGCGAAUGCGAAUGGCGAGUGAGGGAAUGCUGACCGGUAGUCGUAGGCGCAGGGGCUGCCGGGCGUGGGGCAGGUGGCGAGGGAGAAGGGGAGCGACUUGGUGCAGGUGUCCGACGCGCACGAGAUGGGCGCCCAUGUCCUGGAAUCCUCGGGACGGAACGCGCGCCCCGACCCCGAGUCGGCCGGCGAGAGCGAGGAGUUGGCCGGGGCGGAGGCGGAGGCGGGGCGGCGGCACUUGACCCAGGUCAGGUCGCUGCCGGUGUCGGCCACCAGCAGGAACGGCUGCGCCGGGGUGCCCACGCGGAAGCGCACGAAGUACUGCCCGAUGCCCGUGUACGCGCCGGAGGUGAGCGGCAUCGCGAAGGCCGCGGCAGCCGAAGAGGCAGACGAGCCCGCCGCGGUCUCGCGCGUGCGCCGCCGCCCGUGCGAGGCGAUGAACGCCAUCCGCUGCCGGUCGCUGCGCGCCAGGUCGGCGAGGGACGCCGGCGCGGCGAGGCGGAGCAGGGGGAACCGCGCCGAGUCGCUCGCGCGGCGGCCGCUCGCGCCUGCCAGGAACGCGGCGGCCACCGCGACGAGCAGCAGCGCCAGGCGGCGACCCGCCAUUGCCGACGGCGCGGCCGAUUCUUGGGUUUCGCGGCUUUGCUAGGCCACCAACGCGACGCCCGGCGAUGUGUAUGUGGCUGGCCCGCCGGCGGCCGUAUGCGCCAAUGCGCGCGCGCGCCUCCCGGCUCCUCGCAGCUAAGCAAGCAAGCCGCCGAGUUGCCGCGGCGGUCGUGGUGGUGCUUUCGUUUGCGCUAGCGUUUCGGGCUGCGUGUAUGUGUUUGUGUUUGUGUGUGUGCCGCUUUGGAGUGCGUAUUUAUCUUGCCCUCUUUGCGUGGGGGAGGCAGCUGAAUAGCUAAGGUUAGUUUAGUUUAGUGUUAGUUUUUGUUCAGGGUGGUGGCUGUGCUGUGCCUGUGCGUAGUCCGGGCGGCACCUGCCGCGAUUGGCAUUGUUUGGCCGCUGCAGAGGUGUGCGACGCGACGCGCUUGGGCGCUUGCGCUUGUGCUUUGUGCGCGCCGUGCUGGCCGCGGGUCAAAGCUUCCUGGGACUCGCUGCGCCGGAUUUCGGUUGGAUCUGUUUCCGUUAACACAGAUGCUCUCGGCGAACUGAGAGCCUAAGCUAGUUUAGGGCAUCUUCAAUGAUGAGCCGCGAGCUUUCUUGCCCAUCCGUCCGCGGACACAGAUAUGGAAGGCCGCCAUUCAAAGCUACCCGCAUGCAUACGGUCUCUCUUAAUUUUUUGAAGUCUCCAUGUUCAAAUUGCCGCAUACAUAGAUGGCUAAUUCUUUUGGGUGGAAUCAACCCAUCAGGAUUUAAGUCUUAGAUUUGGCGCUGGUGCUGGAAUUAUAUUAGGCUUCCGGCGAAGUUCGUUCAGCGGGAGGAGACGUUUUUGUCGACUACAGAGGCGUGUGUGGUGACUAAAUGCUCUCUUUCCUUUGAAAGAGUGUGAGUAGGGUAUGACAUGAGGGUGAGUAGGAUUUAUGUUGGGUGUGGUUUUUUGCCGGUUUCCCAUAUUAACCGCACGUUGUAUGGUUUUCGGGUCCGGUUUCCCUAUUAACUGGACCAUUUUCCCUCUUCUAUAAUGCAAAGGCAGAGCACCUGCCGUUCACGCUAAAAAAAAAGAAUAUGCUAAUGGAGCUCGACCUCCAUUUAGCCCUUAAUUUGAAAAGUACAAAAAUUCUGAAAAAUACAUAUUUUUUAAAAAAA